UAAAAAGAAACAGUUAGGCCAAUUAAGGUACUGAAGAGAGAAAGAAAAUGGACUUUUUUUAGUUUUGAAAACAAACAAAAAAACGUUGGAAACAGUAUUAUUUGUCAACUCCGGUCUUUUUAUUCUCAUUUGCCUUUUUUUUUCUUUGGAAGAAGCCAUUAAAGCUUAGAAGAACCAAAUCCUUAAACAAAAAUUCAAAAUUCCAAUUUCUUGGAAGAAUAUAAUCUUCUUUUUCUGAUGUUGCUUGAGCUUCUCUUUCAAUAUUAGCAACUUUAAUAAAUGAACUAGUAGUGCCAAAAAAGCUAAGGAUCUAUUUAAUUAGAUUUGUUUUUGUUUCUCGGAAGUGCAGAAGAAAAGCAAAAAAUGGAGAGUUAUUUGAACGAGAACUUUGGAGAUGUGAAGCCAAAGAACUCAUCUGAAGAAGCUUUAGAAAGAUGGAGGAAGCUUUGUUGGAUCGUUAAGAAUCGUAAGCGAAGGUUUCGAUUUACUGCUAAUCUUUCCAAGCGUUUUGAAGCUGAAGCUAUUCGUCGCUCUAAUCAGGAAAAAUUUAGGGUUGCAGUUUUGGUUUCACAAGCUGCUCUUCAAUUUAUCCAUGGCUUAAACUUGUCUAGUGAAUAUGAUGCACCUGAAGAAGUUAAAGCAGCUGGUUUUCAGAUUUGUGCUGAUGAGUUGGGAUCUAUUGUUGAAGGUCAUGAUGUGAAGAAGUUGAAAAUUCAUGGUGGGGUUGAGGAUAUAGCAGCCAAGCUCUCUACUUCAAUUGUUAAUGGUAUUCCUACUUCUGAGCAUUUGGUAAAUGAAAGGAAACGUAUUUAUGGAAUUAAUAAGUUCACGGAAACCCCUCCACGAGGUUUCUGGGUUUUCGUAUGGGAAGCCCUUCAAGAUACAACCCUCAUGAUAUUAGCUGUUUGUGCCCUUGUCUCUCUUGCUGUUGGUAUUACAGUGGAAGGAUGGCCAAAGGGUGCCUAUGAUGGUCUUGGAAUUGUUUUGAGCAUUCUUCUUGUUGUGUUUGUCACUGCCACAAGUGAUUAUAGACAAUCUUUGCAGUUCAGAGAUUUAGACAAGGAGAAGAAAAAAAUAACGGUUCAGGUUACCAGAGAUGGACUGAGGCAGAAAAUAUCAAUAUUUGAUCUACUUCCUGGUGAUAUUGUUCAUCUUGCCAUUGGAGAUCAGGUCCCAGCUGAUGGACUCUUCAUUUCGGGGUUUUCCGUUUUGAUAAAUGAAUCCAGUUUAACGGGAGAGAGUGAACCAGUUAGUGCAAAUGCAAGAAACCCUUUUCUCCUCUCUGGAACCAAAGUGCAGGAUGGGUCAUGCAAGAUGCUUGUGACUACUGUUGGGAUGAGAACUCAAUGGGGGAAACUAAUGGCCACCCUUAGUGAAGGUGGAGAUGAUGAAACCCCAUUGCAGGUUAAACUGAAUGGAGUAGCCACAAUUAUUGGUAAAAUAGGUCUUUUUUUUGCUGUUGUGACAUUUGCUGUUCUAGUACAAGGAUUGUUUAGCCGCAAGCUACAAGAUGGCACACAAUGGAUUUGGUCUGGAGAUGAUGCGAUGGAAAUGUUGGAAUUUUUCGCUAUUGCCGUUACAAUUGUUGUUGUUGCUGUUCCUGAGGGGCUGCCUUUGGCUGUGACAUUAAGCCUUGCUUUUGCCAUGAAGAAGAUGAUGAAUGACAAGGCACUCGUUCGCCAUCUGGCUGCUUGUGAGACAAUGGGAUCCUCUACAAGUAUUUGCAGCGAUAAAACAGGUACGCUGACUACUAACCACAUGACUGUUGUGAAAACAUGCUUUUGUGGGGAAACCAAGGAAGUGAGCACCUCCAACAAGAGUAAUCAUUUUAGAUCUGCAGUUCCUGAAUCUGCUGUGAAAAUUUUAAUUGAGUCCAUAUUUAAUAACACCGGAGGAGAAGUCGUUAAUAACAAAGAAAACAAAAUUGAGAUACUGGGAACACCAACAGAAACUGCUCUUUUAGAAUUCGGGUUAUUGCUUGGUGGGGAUUUCCAAGCAGAACGGAAAGCAUCUAAAAUUGUGAAAGUUGAGCCUUUCAACUCUGCAAAAAAGAGAAUGGGUGUAGUUAUAGAGUUUCCGGAAGGAGGUCUCCGAGUGCAUUGUAAGGGUGCUUCUGAAAUAAUCUUAGCUGCAUGUGACAAAGUAAUAAGCUCAAAUGGUGAUGUUGUUCCCCUGGAUGAACCAACCACCAAUCAUCUAAAGAAUACAAUUGAGCAAUUUGCUAGUGAAGCUCUUCGAACUUUAUGCCUUGCUUACAUGGAUGUAGGAACUGAUUUUUCUGUUGAUAGCUCCCUUCCUCUUCAAGGGUACACUUGUAUAGGCAUUGUCGGCAUCAAAGACCCUGUACGCCCUGGUGUUAAGGAGUCUGUUGCAAUAUGUAAGUCUGCUGGUAUUACUGUCCGAAUGGUCACUGGAGACAAUAUUAACACUGCUAAGGCUAUUGCAAGGGAAAUUGGAAUUUUAACUGAUGAUGGUAUAGCAAUUGAAGGUCCAGUUUUCCGGGAAAAAUCUGAAGAGGAAUUGUAUGAACUUAUUCCUAAAAUACAGGUAAUGGCUCGAUCUUCACCUAUGGAUAAACAUACUCUUGUUAAACACCUACGAACCUCACUUGGAGAAGUAGUUGCUGUGACCGGAGAUGGUACAAAUGAUGCCCCUGCACUUCAUGAAGCUGAUAUUGGGCUUGCAAUGGGCAUUGCUGGGACUGAGGUGGCCAAAGAAAGUGCAGAUGUCAUAAUCCUAGAUGAUAACUUCUCUACAAUAGUAACUGUCGCUAAAUGGGGACGUUCGGUUUAUAUAAAUAUCCAAAAAUUCGUUCAGUUUCAACUUACUGUCAACGUGGUCGCCCUAAUUGUAAACUUUACUUCAGCCUGUUUGACCGGAAAUGCUCCGCUCACUGCUGUUCAACUUUUGUGGGUCAACAUGAUCAUGGAUACGUUAGGGGCACUUGCAUUAGCUACCGAGCCUCCUAACGAUGACUUGAUGAAGAGAUCGCCAGUUGGUAGGAAGGGAAACUUCAUCAGUAAUGUAAUGUGGAGGAAUAUUUUAGGGCAGUCUUUAUAUCAGUUUGUGAUUAUAUGGUUUCUUCAGACCAGAGGAAAGGCUGCUUUUCAUCUCGAUGGCCCGGAUUCCGAUCUGAUACUGAACACUCUUAUUUUCAACUCAUUUGUCUUUUGCCAGGUUUUCAACGAAAUUAGCUCUAGAGAGAUGGAAAAGAUUAAUGUUCUCAAAGGCAUACUGAAAAACCACGUGUUUGUGGCCGUGCUAAGUUGCACUAUCAUAUUCCAAAUUGUGAUCGUUGAGUUCCUCGGUACCUUUGCAAGCACUUCUCCUCUCACAGUACAGCAGUGGUUUGUCAGCGUCUGCCUUGGAUUCCUUGGGAUGCCGAUUGCUGCUGCUUUGAAGUUGAUUCCCGUAGGAUCAAACUGAGACCAAGGCAAUCUAGAUAGCAGUAGAUAGCAUCAAUGGAUCUGAUGGAAGACUUGUUACACAGUCAAGCUGAAAAGCCAAAUAUUUCGGGGGAGGUCGCUUAGACUGCUGCAAGACUAUCGAUCUUUCGUCAAGUAUCGAUGUUUCUAUUCUUACUUCGUUGAUCACAAUAGGCAUGGCUUAAAGUUGACAAUAGGGUUAAAGGUUAAAUUCUGCUACUAGUCCUUCUACUUCGUGAAAAUUGUGGAUUUAGUCAUUGUAAUUUAAUUAGUCAUUUUUACUUGUACUUUUCAAAUUUUAAAAUUUUAGUCCUUGACAAACAAUAAUUGUUAAAUUCAUUCAAUUAAGUUCCGCGACUUCAAAAA